rnacentral:misc_RNA from 1 species
AAUCUCAAUCCCAUCUGGUUUAUGAUCAGUUGGGACUUGGACAUGGGCGCUGCCGGUUACACGGCUCGCCUCAAAUGACUUAGUGGGAUCGCUAGCAUCCGUGACAGACGUAAUAAGUUUCGUCUUGUCCCUUGUGUGCGUCAAGCCUGCUCAGAACACCGCUUGCCUUUGUGCAACACUUUUUGA